UGGCACUGUUCGUAACCUGUU
rnacentral:miRNA from 1 species